GGCUGACCAGGUAUCCCCCUUAGUGUCUGUGUUCUGAUGACUGGCUGUAGUGUCUGUGUUCUGGUGACUGGCUGACCAGGUAUCCCCCUUAGUGUCUGUGUUCUGAUGACUGGCUGACCAGGUAUCCCCCUUAGUGUCUGUGUUCUGGUGACUGGCUGACCAGGUAUCCCCCUUAGUGUCUGUGUUCUGGUGACUGGCUGACCAGGUAUCCCCCUUAGUGUCUGUGUUCUGGUGACUGGCUGACCAGGUAUCCCCCUUAGUGUCUGUGUUCUGGUGACUGGCUGACCAGGUAUCCCCCUUAGUGUCUGUGUUCUGAUGACUGGCUGACCAGGUAUCCCCCUUAGUGUCUGUGUUCUGGUGACUGGCUGACCAGGUAUCCCCCUUAGUGUCUGUGUUCUGAUGACUGGCUGACCAGGUAUCCCCCUUAGUGUCUGUGUUCUGGUGACUGGCUGACCAGGUAUCCCCCUUAGUGUCUGUGUUCUGGUGACUGGCUGACCAGGUAUCCCCCUUAGUGUCUGUGUUCUGGUGACUGGCUGACCAGGUAUCCCCCUUAGUGUCUGUGUUCUGGUGACUGGCUGACCAGGUAUCCCCCUUAGUGUCUGUGUUCUGGUGACUGGCUGACCAGGUAUCCCCCUUAGUGUCUGUGUUCUGGUGACUGGCUGACCAGGUAUCCCCCUUAGUGUCUGUGUUCUG